GAGUUUGAUCGUGGCUCAGAUUGAACGCUGGCGGCAUGCCUUACACAUGCAAGUCGAACGGCAGCAUGAUCUAGCUCGCUAGAUUGAUGGCGAGUGGCGAACGGGUGAGUAAUACAUCGGAACGUGCCCUGUAGUGGGGGAUAACUAGUCGAAAGAUUAGCUAAUACCGCAUACGACCUGAGGGUGAAAGUGGGGGACCGCAAGGCCUCAUGCUAUAGGAGCGGCCGAUGUCUGAUUAGCUAGUUGGUGGGGUAAAGGCCCACCAAGGCGACGAUCAGUAGCUGGUCUGAGAGGACGAUCAGCCACACUGGGACUGAGACACGGCCCAGACUCCUACGGGAGGCAGCAGUGGGGAAUUUUGGACAAUGGGCGAAAGCCUGAUCCAGCAAUGCCGCGUGUGUGAAGAAGGCCU
rnacentral:rRNA from 1 species